UAUUUAAUACAAAUAUUUUUAUAAAUAUAUCAAUCAUAAUAAUAUAAAAUAACUAUUACCAAAAAAUACAAAUACAACGUUAAAUCUGCAACAAUGCAGACAAAAUUGUAUUACAUUACUUCCAUUGUACGAUAAUUAUUCCGAGUUCUCAGGUGCUACGUGACUUGGAUUCAGUGUUGAAUUUCGCAUAGCUGAUAUAAUUCGACAAUGUCGCAAUAUCGGAAAUGUCCAGUAAUUCGAUACCCGGGCAGAAUGCAACGGACCUCACGCCGCUUGGAUCGCAUGUCUCAGAUAAGAAUACAUUGUGUUGCUGACUGUUUAAGCCGUGGAUCGUACGGAUAGAACUUUUUGCGCACACGACCGAACGCGUUGCCCGAUCGCCUUCCCGGAUUACAUUUAGAAAUAGCAGUGUGAUAAGGGUCUAAGCGCACUCCUAAAAACAUACAAUAUAAAAAAUAGAAAGUAUUUACCACUGUUUAUUUGAAACACAAUGAACUUUCUAUAAGCAUCAUGUACCUAGCUUAAUUAAAUAAAUGAAAUGUCACCUAUA